rnacentral:rRNA from 1 species
CCCUUAGAUGUUCUGGGCCGCACGCGCGCUACACUGACACGUUCAUCAAGUCUAUAACCUUGACCGAGAGGUCUGGGUAAUCUUUUAAAAACGUGUCGUGCUGGGGAUAGAUUAUUGCAAUUAUUAAUCUUCAACGAGGAAUUCCUAGUAAACGCAAGUCAUCAACUUGCAUUGAUUACGUCCCUGCCCUUUGUACACACCGCCCGUCGCUACUACCGAUUGAGUGGUCCGGUGAGGCUUUGGGAUCUGAGCGGAAAGAGCGUUUCGCUGUUUCUGCUCGGAAAACUCAGUCGAACCUUAUCAUUUAGAGGAAGGAGAAGUCGUAACA